AAAUGUUUUGAGGGGUAGAAGGUCGACUCCUUUGGCUUUCCACACGUUCUAAUCUCCCACUCAUUGAUGCCACAUCCGUAUCUAAUUUCUCAAGACCCACAUUCAACCUAGCCACAUCUCGGGACAUAAUUUCAAGGCGAGCCAAAAUGAGAUUGAUGGCAUUAUUAUCCAUUGUUUGAGCAUUUGAAUCCUCGGGUUCCAUUGUGG
rnacentral:lncRNA from 1 species